rnacentral:sRNA from 1 species
GCUGGGCACGGUGGUGCAUGCCUGUAAUUCCAGACACUCAGGAGGCUGAGGCAGGAGCAUCACACGUUUAAAGGUAGCCUCAGCAAUUUAGUGAGGCCCUAAACAACUUAGUGAGAUCCUGUCUCAA